rnacentral:pre_miRNA from 1 species
UCAUUUCCACAUUCUGGGAGCUUCUUCAAAAUUCGGUUGUUUUAGGAAUCACCUUUUUUGAAGGAGCCCCCAGCACGUGGAGAAAA